rnacentral:rRNA from 1 species
UGGGGAAUUUUGGACAAUGGGGGAAACCCUGAUCCAGCCAUCCCGCGUGUGCGAUGAAGGCCUUCGGGUUGUAAAGCACUUUUGGCAGGAAAGAAACGCCAUGGGUUAAUACCCCGUGAAACUGACGGUACCUGCAGAAUAAGCACCGGCUAACUACGUGCCAGCAGCCGCGGUAAUACGUAGGGUGCAAGCGUUAUUCGGAAUUACUGGGCGUAAAGCGUGCGCAGGCGGUUCGGCAAGAAAGAUGUGAAAUCCCAGAGCUCAACUUUGGAACUGCAUUUUUAACUACCGGGCUAGAGUGUGUCAGAGGGAGGUGGAAUUCCGCGUGUAGCAGUGAAAUGCGUAGAUAUGCAGAGGAACACCGAUGGCGAAGGCAGCCUCCUGGGAUAACACUGACGAUCAUGCACGAAAGCGUGGGGAGCAAACAGG